GACGUAGGGCGCGAGCGUUGUCCGGAUUUAUUGGGCGUAAAGAGCUCGUAGGCGGUUCAGUAAGUCGGGUGUGAAAACUCUGGGCUCAACCAGAGACGCCACCCGAUACUGCUGUGACUAGAGUCCGGUAGGGGAGCGUGGAAUUCCUGGUGUAGCGGUGAAAUGUGCAGAUAUCAGGAGGAACACCGGUGGCGAAGGCGGGUCUCUGGGCCGAUACUGACGCUGGAGGAGCGAAAGCGUGGGGGAGCGAACAGGG
rnacentral:rRNA from 1 species